rnacentral:rRNA from 1 species
CGCAUCUGUGCAUGCAGCAUAUCAAUAAGCGGAGGAAAAGAAACUAACAAGGAUUCCCCUAGUAACGGCGAGUGAAGCGGGAAGAGCUCAAAUUUGAAAUCUUAAAGGGUUUCCCUUUACGAAUUGUAGUUUAAAGAAGUGUUUUCUGUUGAGGUUUUGGUAAAAGUUCUUUGGAAUAGGACAUCAUAGAGGGUGAGAAUCCCGUAUUUGACCUUUACUUUCAACUUUGUGAUACAGCUUUCAAAGAGUCGGAUUGUUUGGGAAUGCAGUCCAAAAUGGGUGGUAAAUUUCAUCUAAAGCUAAAUAUUGGCGAGAGACCGAUAGCGAACAAGUACCGUGAGGGAAAGAUGAAAAGAACUUUGAAAAGAGAGUUAAACAGUACGUGAAAUUGUCAAAAGGGAAGCGUUUGACACCAGUGUUGUUUUUCUGAAAAUCAAUUAAAGAACUGUUUAUGCUAAGCUGUUUAGACUUUAUCAGCUAUCUGUUUAGUUUUGAGCUUUUCUUUAAUGCACUUUUCAGCUAACAUAGUCAACAUCAAUUUCUUUUGCUGUAAAAAAGCUUGAGGAAGGUGGCUUGAGAUUCGUCUUAAGUGUUUAUAGCCUCUUGCCUAUGCAGUCGGAGAGAUUGAGGUCUGCAGCGUAGAUCCUUCGGGGCUAAAUGCAUUUGUGCUAAGUUAUAGCAUUUUAUAGACAACUUGUUGACUAUGAUUUGUCUUGUAGCUUACUCGCUUAUGUUAUUUUACCUACGCUUAGGAUGUUGAAUCUGUGCGAGACUAC